GAUGAACGCUGGCGGCGUGCCUAAUACAUGCAAGUCGAGCGAACAGAUAAGGAGCUUGCUCCUUUGACGUUAGCGGCGGACGGGUGAGUAAAACGUGGGUAACCUACCUAUAAGACUGGAAUAACUCCGGGAAACCGGGGCUAAUGCCGGAUAACAUUUAGAACCGCAUGGUUCUAAAGUGAAAGAUGGUUUUGCUAUCACUUAUAGAUGGACCCGCGCCGUAUUAGCUAGUUGGUAAGGUAACGGCUCACCAAGGCAACGAUACGUAGCCGACCUGAGAGGGUGAUCGGCCACACUGGAACUGAGACACGGUCCAGACUCCUACGGGAGGCAGCAGUAGGGAAUCUUCCGCAAUGGGCGAAAGCCUGACGGAGCAACGCCGCGUGAGUGAUGAAGGUCUUCGGAUCGUAAAACUCUGUUAUUAGGGAAGAACAAAUGUGUAAGUAACUGUGCACGUCUUGACGGUACCUAAUCAGAAAGCCACGGCUAACUACGUG
rnacentral:rRNA from 1 species